CGAAAAGUCUGACGGAGCAACGCCGCGUGAGUGAAGAAGGUUUUCGGAUCGUAAAGCUCUGUCUUUGAGGACGAAUGUGUCUAAUGUGAAUAAUGUUAGACAAUGACGGUACUCGAGGAGGAAGCCACGGCUAACUACGUGCCAGCAGCCGCGGUAAUACGUAGGUGGCAAGCGUUGUCCGGAAUUAUUGGGCGUAAAGCGCGCGCAGGCGGGAUAUUAAGUCUGUUUUAAAAGUUCGGGGCUCAACCCCGUGAUGGAAUGGAAACUAAUAUUCUUGAGUGCAGGAGAGGAAAGUGGAAUUCCCAGUGUAGCGGUGAAAUGCGUAGAUAUUGGGAGGAACACCAGUGGCGAAGGCGACUUUCUGGACUGUGUCUGACGCUGAGGCGCGAAAGCCAGGGGAGUGAACGGGAUUAGAUACCCCGGUAAUCCUGGCCGUAAACGAUGGGUACUAGGUGUAGGAGGUAUCGACCCCUUCUGUGCCGGAGUUAACGCAAUAAGUACCCCGCCUGGGGAGUA
rnacentral:rRNA from 1 species